GAUGAAGAACGUAUCGAAAUGCGAUAAGUAAUGUGAAUUGCAGAAUUCAGUGAAUCAUCGAAUCUUUGAACGCACAUUGCGCCCCUUGGUAUUCCGAGGGGCAUGCCUGUUCGAGCGUCAUUAUAACCCCUCAAGCUCAGCUUGGUGUUGGGGCCUGCCGCACGGGCAGCCCUUAAAAUCAGUGGCGGUGCCAUCUGGCUCUAAGCGUAGUAAUUCUUCUCGCUAUAGAGUUCCGGUGGAUGCUUGCCAUUAACCCCCAAUUUUCUAUGGUUGACCUCGGAUCAGGUAGGGAUACCCGCUGAACUUAAGCAUAUCAAUAAGCGGAGGA
rnacentral:misc_RNA from 1 species